GGCGAGGAGGGACUAGUAUCCAUAGCUAGUCUACUCCCUCCCUCCCAACACACCGGCAGCUGCAAUGGGCUGGCAAAGCCCCUAGCCUGUUGCUGUCCAUGGCUUCACAUGGGCUGUGUUGUCUGGUGGGGUUUGCUGCUGCCUCCUCCCCACCAUCAAAGGCCCCGAGGAGCAACUUCCAACAGCAGCCGUGUCCAAGUGCAUCUGUGCACGGCCCCCAGCUCCCCAUGCUGCUCUGGGCAAGUGGCAGGCUGGGGCUGGCGCCCGGCUCUGCAGCCCCGACCAGGACAAGGAGCCAGCUCCUAGAUACAGCACACUCAGCCUAGACCAUGGAAUCGGAAGAGGGAGCUGCCAACUGAGGAACAGCAGGUUUUAUCGGAAAAGGUAAAGAACUUCUAAGGAAAGGUCCCUGAGUCCCUGUAGGACUUAAUGGAAAGCACUUAGUGGCUUUGGAAGACUCUUGCACCAGUGCCCCUUGCCUGUUACCAGCUCCCCAUCCUACGAUAGUUCAAAAAUUUGGCUCUAUUUUCCAAAGCCCUUCACAGGCUGGGAUUGAAUUACCUCACCAUGGUCAUCUAUGACGUUCUCCAAUUCAUUGCGGGGAGGUGGAGUCUGCAUCCUCCUCUAGAGAACCAAUCUAGAACAGCAAGUAGGUAGCUCGCAAUACUGGGUCCCAAGCAGGUGGUCCAACACAACACUAGCUGGACCACCUUCAGGUGUUCUCAAAGGUAACACAAUCCAGUGUAACAGCAUGUGUUAGAGAACU